GAACCUUCAGACAGAGAUAGACAGACACUAACGUGGGAGGUUUGGGCUUGGAGCUUCUUCCUGCAGUGUCCUCUUGUUCUUGCAGGGGGUCCCCAAAUCCUGAAGGGCUGUGCUACACCAGAGGUCUGCCACCUACACGUGAACUCCACCCUAGGCCCCGAGGAGUCUGGGUUUCGUCUCACUGCCAAGCCUGAAUGCAGCUACCUGGCUCCUCCCACUCCACCAGGUCCCCAUGCAACUGUGACCCACCACAAGGACAAGGCUACCAUCUGUUUCACCUGCUCAGACCUCUAUCGCUGUGAUCCUCUCCCAUGCCCGGAAGAUAGGAGCUACUGCCUUCAGACAGCAGGCGUCACAGCCUUGGGGGAAGGCAGUUCUGUCACCUGGAGAAACGGUUACUGUGUGGCCUCCACGGACUGCAGAGUUGACAACUCCAUCUCUGCGUUGACCUACGGCGUCAGCUUCGGCUUCUGGGUCAACACCACUUGUUGCCGAGGCAACUGCCAGGAGCCCAUUCCUCUCGCAGCUCAGCUGGCCUCACCCACCUUGAGCAAUUUCCUGUGUCCCACAUGUCCUGGGAGCCACUUGGGUCCCUGCAAUUCCUCCUUCUACAUGCAGUGUCCCAGUGGGGAGACCAACUGUGUCCAGCUGGACCUGGUGUCUGAAGAAGGUAAGGUGUGUGUGUGUAUGUGUGUGUGCACGUGUGAGCCUGAGCACACUGGUUUCAGAUGCAGGCAUGCCUGAGUUUGGGGUCUGCCCUCCAUCUUUACUCUGUGUGGCCAGAGACAAGCAACUUUAUCUCUGUGCCUCAGUGUUCUCUUCUCGUAAAUGGGUAUAAUGGAGGCACGCUUUUCAGAGUGUUGUGAGGACAAAUGAGCUCAUAAGGGAGGUGAUACAGGAGAGGGUAUGAGAACAGGACUCUAGGGCCAAGCUACCUGGGUUCAAAUCCUGGAUCCAUCACUUAUGAGCUGGGUGACUUUGGGCAGGUGACUUAGUCUCUAUGUGCCUCAAUUUCUCCAUCUGAAAAAGAGGUUAAUAAUAGUUUUUAAGUCUCAAGACUGUUGUGAGAAUUAAAUAAGAUAAACCAUUAAACUUCUAGAUCAGUGCUGUCCAAAAGAAAUAUAAUGUGAGUCACAUGGAAAUUUUAAAACUUUCUAAGUAACCUCAUUAAACAAGUAAACAGUAACAGAGGAAAUGAACUUAAUAAUAUAUUUUAUUUAACACAAUUUAUCCAACAGUUAUCAACUCUAACAUGUAAUCAAUAUUAGAAAUUAUAAAUGAGAUGUCUUGCAUUCAUUGUUUUCCUACUAAGUCUUUGAAAUCUCAUGUAAAUUUCACAUGCACAAGCAUGGCAACUCAAACCAGCCACAUCUCAAGGGUUCAAUAGCCACAUGUGGCUAGUGGUUACUGUAUCGAACAGCAUAAUUCUAGAACAUAGCAAGUGCAAUAUGUGGCAUUUCAGUGAAUCUAAGCUGGUAUCAGUAGGAAGACACAAGAUAACUCUAUUCAGAAGUGUUAAAAUGUGUGCAUGUGUAAGUGGGGGGGGCGAUGUGCCUUGCAAUUUAUAAAAUCUGGUAAGCACUAGUGGCCAUGACCGUUAUGUGUGUAUAAGGCUUAUGUAGGCCGGGCGAGGUGGCUUAUGCCUGUAAUCCCAGCACUUCCUGAGGCCAGGAGUUUGAGACCAGCCUAGGCAACAAGCAAGAUCCCAUCUCUGGGGAAAAAAAAAAGGCUUUCAUGGGCUAGACAGGCCUUCAAUCAAGUAUUGUGCAGGGAAUGGAUGGAUCAGGGAACUUGGGUCUGUGUGUGCAUGUCUGUGUUUCUGUCCAUGAAUCGGGUGGGUGUGUUUGUGUUGAUCGUGUAUGGGCCUCUGGGGGCAUCGGGCAAGCUGUAUGUGACUGAGGUGUGUGUGUGUGUGUGUGUGUGUGUGUGUGUGCACGUGUUCAUGGGUGUGCACAGGAUGAGCCUGGAGCAGUGACUCACAAACACAGUUCUGGGAGGAAGUGUAGACCAGCAUAGGGCAAAAUGAGACAAAUCUGCAACAUGCCGUGAGACUUGCAUUUCUUUUUAACUUUUUUUUUAUGGAGAAGUCAAAGAUAAAUAAAAGAAUGAACACUUUAGUAAAGCCCCGUGUAGACCCUUCGCCCAACUCUGAUAACCAUCCACUCCUGGCCAAUCCUGUUCCAUCUCCACCUGCCUCAUACUAUUUUGCAGCAAAUUCAGAUAUUGCAUCACUUCAUCCAUAAGCAUUUCCGUACAUGGCUCUAAAAGAUAAAGACUUACAAAUAACCUACAAUUAUGAGGUUUUUCAAAUUGGAAAAAAAUAAGACCAUUUUGCUUCCAUGUCCCGCAUCAAGUCUCCAAUAAACUGGUUACACCUGCAUAUUGCUAUGUAGACAUACAUAUAGCACAUCAUAUCAUGUUACAGUAUAUCAUAUAUGGCUCGGGAGAAGGAAAAAUUGGGAAAGCUGGGCACUAAGCAGGUUGGGGGACGGUGAGCGAAACAGAGUGGCCUCCGAGCGUGUGUGCGCAUCGGCCACAGUGAAAGUGUAUCUGCGACAUAUUCAUGCGUGUAAGGUAGAAAAAGAAUCCCAGCCGUGACCAGCCCCUAGUUCAAGGAGCAGGGCAUUCCCGGUGAGUUUUCACGGAGAACACUGACCCGAGGGGACCUCGGGCGCGCGUGUGUGCAAGGCGCGCGCGUGCAGGGGUGACGCUCUGCCCGCCCGCGCGUGUCCCCACGGUCGCCUCCUCACACCCGGUC
ensembl:lincRNA